rnacentral:rRNA from 1 species
GACGAACGCUGGCGGCGUGCUUAACACAUGCAAGUCGAACGGAAAGGCCCUUCGGGGUACUCGAGUGGCGAACGGGUGAGUAACACGUGGGUGAUCUGCCCUGCACUUUGGGAUAAGCCUGGGAAACUGGGUCUAAUACCGGAUAGGACCACGGCAUUCAUGUGCUGUGGUGGAAAGCUUUUGCGGUGUGGGAUGGGCCCGCGGCCUAUCAGCUUGUUGGUGGGGUAAUGGCCUACCAAGGCGACGACGGGUAGCCGGCCUGGGAGGGUGACCGGCCACACUGGGACUGAGAUACGGCCCAGACUCCUACGGGAGGCAGCAGUGGGGAAUAUUGCACAAUGGGCGCAAGCCUGAUGCAGCGACGCCGCGUGAGGGAUGACGGCCUUCGGGUUGUAAACCUCUUUCGCCAGGGACGAAGCGCAAGUGACGGUACCUGGAGAAGAAGGACCGGCCAACUACGUG